GAUGAACGCUGGCGGCGUGCUUAACACAUGCAAGUCGAACGAAGGCAUUUGGACGGAAGUUUACGGACGGAAGGAAGAAUGACUGAGUGGCGGACGGGUGAGUAACGCGUGGGUAACCUGCCUCAUACAGGGGGAUAACAGUUAGAAAUGACUGCUAAUACCGCAUAAGCCUACGGUGUCGCAUGACACAGAAGGAAAAGCUACGGCCACUAUGAGAUGGACCCGCGUCUGAUUAGCUAGUUGGUGAGGUAACGGCCCACCAAGGCGAGGAUCUGUAGCCGAGCAGAAGUGGUGACCGGGUACCCUGGGGCGAAGCUACGGACCGAUCUUUAGUGGGUGGAACUAGUGUGGAAUAUUGCAAACUAUACGAAAGCCUGAUGUAUCGGCGCCGGGUUAAGUAAGAAGUAUUGCGAUAUGCAAACAUCUAUCAGAAAGAUAGAAAUUUUCGCUACGUGACUAAGAAGUCCCGCCUAACUACGUGCCAGCCGCCGCCGUUACAC
rnacentral:rRNA from 1 species